GCACUCCGCGGCGAGCGGAUGGCGGACGUGACUCCUUCUCCUUCACUUCGACAUGGGAUAGUAGACCCGUUCGAUCAAUACUGUCGCUCACCUGCAUUCCGCUGCUUCGGCAACCCUCCCGCCAUCUUCUUGCUUCCUCCUUCCCUUUUCACUACAUUUGCCGUACCACCAUCGCCCCCAUCGGCUAGGGUGGAAGGUUCCAGAAGGCGCACUGUGAGCCGAGGAAGCGUCAGUUUUGCAACUCGAGCAUCAAAGCUCGGGCUUUGCUCCGGGGUCCUAGGCGUCCUUGCUCCCUUAGCUCUCUCGCUAUCUGCCUGCCUCAAUUUGAGCUGGACAACAACACGACGUUGAAAGCCUGGUUAUGCACGCGCUCGCUGAAACAAUGCCACCCGCUGAAAAUUUAGACCAGCAAAACGUUUACUUUUGCGGUGGGCGGUGACUCACUUUCGAAAAGUAGUCUAGAACAAGAAGGUCAUUGAAACAAACCGACAGAACUGCGGAUGCUGUAAAUCCGGAACAAAAACAAAAGUUGCUGGAAAAGCUGAGCAGGUCUGGCAGCAUUUGUGAAGAAAAAAAUCAGAGUUAACGUUUCGGAUCCGGUGACCAUUCCACAGGUCAUUGAAACCCUUUCCAACAAGAGACAUCCUAUCUCCCAACGGAUUUCUCCCCUUCCCCCAAAAAACUCUUCUGUUUCUGCAUAAAUUAAAGAUUUCAAACCAAAAAAAAUUUCAAA